GAGUUUGAUCCUGGCUCAGGAUGAACGCUCUUGGCGUGCUUAACACAUGCAAGUCGAACGAAGCGGCUGCAGGGAUUCCCUUCGGGGAGGAACAGUAGCUGUCUGAGUGGCGGACGGGUGAGUAACGCGUGGGCAGCCUGCCCCAUACCGGGGGAUAACAGCCGGAAACGGCUGCUAAUACCGCAUACGCCCAGGAGGCUGCAUAGCUUCCUGGGGAAAACUCCGGUGGUAUGGGAUGGGCCCGCGUCUGAUUAGCUCGUUGGCGGGGUAACGGCCCACCAAGGCGACGAUCAGUAGCCGGCCUGAGAGGGCGGCCGGCCACAUUGGGACUGAGACACGGCCCAGACUCCUGCGGGAGGCAGCAGUGGGGAAUAUUGCACAAUGGGGGAAACCCUGAUGCAGCGACGCCGCGUGAGCGAUGAAGUAUCUCGGUAUGUAAAGCUCUAUCAGCAGGGAAGAAAGUGACAGUACCUGACUAAGAAGCCCCGGCUAACUACGUGCCAGCAGCCGCGGUAAUACGUAGGGGGCAAGCGUUAUCCGGAUUCACUGGGCGUAAAGGGAGCGCAGGCGGCACGGCAAGUCUGGUGUGAAAACCCGGGGCUCAACCCCGGGACUGCAUUGGAAACUGCCGGGCUGGAGUGUCGGAGGGGUAAGCGGAAUUCCUAGUGUAGCGGUGAAAUGCGUAGAUAUUAGGAGGAACACCAAUGGCGAAGGCGGCUUACUGGACGAUGACUGACGCUGAGGCUCGAAAGCGUGGGGAGCAAACAGGAUUAGAUACCCUGGUAGUCCACGCCGUAAACGAU
rnacentral:rRNA from 1 species